GAUGAACGCUGGCGGCAUGCCUUACACAUGCAAGUCGAACGGUAACGGGCCUUCGGGUGCCGACGAGUGGCGAACGGGUGAGUAAUGUAUCGGAACGUACCUUUCAGUGGGGGAUAACGUAGCGAAAGUUACGCUAAUACCGCAUAUUCUGUGAGCAGGAAAGCAGGGGAUCGCAAGACCUUGCGCUGAUUGAGCGGCCGAUAUCAGAUUAGCUAGUUGGUGAGGUAAAGGCUCACCAAGGCGUCGAUCUGUAGCGGGUCUGAGAGGAUGAUCCGCCACACUGGAACUGAGACACGGUCCAGACUCCUACGGGAGGCAGCAGUGGGGAAUUUUGGACAAUGGGGGCAACCCUGAUCCAGCCAUGCCGCGUGAGUGAAGAAGGCCUCGG
rnacentral:rRNA from 1 species